GAUGAACGCUAGCGGCAGGCCUAAUACAUGCAAGUCAAGGGGAUAGCAAUAUCACCGGCGGACGGGUGCGUAACGCGUACACAACGUGCCCAAGGGCGGAGGAAAGCGGCGGGAAACUGCCGGUAAUACUCCAUGGUGUUGUUGAGUGGCAUCACUUAACAACUAAAGUACAAGCGCCCUUGGAUCGGUGUGCGUUCGAUUAGCUAGUGGCGGGGUAACGCCCACAAGGCUUCGAUCGAUAGGGGGUGUGAGAGCAUCGACCCCCCCACACGGGUACUGAGACACGGACCCGACUCCUACGGGAGGCAGCAGUAAGGAAUAUUGGACAAUGGGCGGAAGCCUGAUCCAGCCAUGCCGCGUGAAGGACGAAGGCGCUCAGCGUUGUAAACUUCUUUUGGAUGGGAACAAUAACU
rnacentral:rRNA from 1 species